rnacentral:rRNA from 1 species
GACCUGAGAGGGUGAUCGGCCACACUGGAACUGAGACACGGUCCAGACUCCUACGGGAGGCAGCAGUAGGGAAUCUUCCGCAAUGGGCGAAAGCCUGACGGAGCAACGCCGCGUGAGUGAUGAAGGUCUUCGGAUCGUAAAACUCUGUUAUUAGGGAAGAACAAAUGUGUAAGUAACUGUGCACGUCUUGACGGUACCUAAUCAGAAAGCCACGGCUAACUACGUGCCAGCAGCCGCGGUAAUACGUAGGUGGCAAGCGUUAUCCGGAAUUAUUGGGCGUAAAGCGCGCGUAGGCGGUUUCUUAAGUCUGAUGUGAAAGCGCACGGCUCAACCGUGGAGGGUCAUUGGAAACUG